UACGGAGGGUGCAAGCGUUAUCCGGAUUCACUGGGUUUAAAGGGUGCGUAGGUGGCUUUGUAAGUCAGUGGUGAAAUGCCGGAGCUUAACUCCGGAACUGCCAUUGAUACUGCUUAGCUUGAAUCACGUCGAGGUGGAUGGAAUAUUACAUGUAGCGGUGAAAUGCUUAGAUAUGUAAUAGAACACCGAUUGCGAAGGCAGUUCACUAGGCGUGUAUUGACACUGAGGCACGAAAGCGUGGGGAGCGAACAGG
rnacentral:rRNA from 1 species